CGGCGUCGGGCGAGCUCGAGCUCGCCAGAUCUGGCGAGCUCGAGCUCGCCCGACACCG
rnacentral:pre_miRNA from 1 species